AUUGAACGCUGGCGGCACGCUUAACACAUGCAAGUCGAACGGCAGCAGCAGAGAGCUUGCUCUCUGGCUGGCGAGUGGCGGACGGGUGAGUAAUGUGUAGGUAUCUGUCCUAAAGGUGGGGGAUAACUUGGGGAAACUCAAGCUAAUACCGCAUAUGGUCUACGGACUAAAGCUGGGGAUCUUCGGACCUAGUGCUUUAGGGUGAGCCUACAUUCGAUUAGCUUGUUGGUGGGGUAAAAGCCUACCAAGGCAACGAUCGAUAGCUGGUCUGAGAGGAUGAUCAGCCACACUGGGACUGAGACACGGCCCAG
rnacentral:rRNA from 1 species